rnacentral:rRNA from 1 species
AGAGUUUGAUCAUGGCUCAGAAUCAACGCUGGCGGCGCGCCUAACACAUGCAAGUCGAGCGCCGUAGCAAUACGGAGCGGCAGACGGGUGAGUAACGCGUGGGAACGUGCCCUUCGGUUCGGAAUAACUCAGGGAAACUUGAGCUAAUACCGGAUACGUCCGAAAGGAGAAAGAUUUAUCGCCGAAGGAUCGGCCCGCGUAAGAUUAGCUAGUUGGUGAGGUAACGGCUCACCAAGGCUCUGAUCUUUAGCUGGUCUGAGAGGACGAUCAGCCACACUGGGACUGAGACACGGCCCAGACUCCUACGGGAGGCAGCAGUGGGGAAUAUUGGACAAUGGGCGCAAGCCUGAUCCAGCCAUGCCGCGUGAGUGAUGAAGGCCUUAGGGUUGUAAAGCUCUUUUGGCAGGGACGAUAAUGACUGUACCUGCAGAAUAAGCCCCGGCCAACUUCGUGCCAGCAGCCGCGGUAAUACGAAGGGGGCUAGCGUUGCUCGGAAUCACUGGGCGUAAAGCGCACGUAGGCGGGUCGUUAAGUCGGGGGUGAAAUCCUGGAGCUCAACUCCAGAACUGCCCUCGAUACUGGCGAUCUUGGAGUCCGGGAGAGGUGGGUGGAACUGCGAGUGUAGAGGUGAAAUUCGUAGAUAUUCGCAAGAACACCAGUGGCGAAGGCGGCUCACUGGCCCGGUACUGACGCUGAGGUGCGAAAGCGUGGGGAGCAAACAGGAUUAGAUACCCUAGUAGUCC